rnacentral:rRNA from 1 species
UACAGAGGUCCCAAGCGUUGUUCGGAUUCACUGGGCGUAAAGGGUGCGUAGGUGGCCGGGUAAGUCUGAUGUGAAAUCUCGGAGCUCAACUCCGAAACUGCAUUGGAUACUAUCCGGCUCGAGGAUUGGAGGGGGGACUGGAAUUCUCGGUGUAGCAGUGAAAUGCGUAGAUAUCGAGAGGAACACCAGUGGCGAAGGCGGCUACCUGGACCAGCACUGACACUGAAGCACGAAAGCGUGGGGAGCAAACAGG